GACGAACGUUGGCGGCGUGCUUAACACAUGCAAGUCGAACGGAAAGGCCCUGCUUUUGUGGGGUGCUCGAGUGGCGAACGGGUGAGUAACACGUGAGUAACCUGCCCUUGACUUUGGGAUAACUUCAGGAAACUGGGGCUAAUACCGGAUAGGAGCUCCUGCUGCAUGGUGGGGGUUGGAAAGUUUCGGCGGUUGGGGAUGGACUCGCGGCUUAUCAGCUUGUUGGUGGGGUAGUGGCUUACCAAGGCUUUGACGGGUAGCCGGCCUGAGGGGGUGACCGGCCACAUUGGGACUGAGAUACGGCGCAGACUCCUACGGGAGGCAGCAGUGGGGAAUAUGGCACAAUGGGCGGAAGCCUGAUGCAGCAACGCCGCGUGCGGGAUGACGGCCUUCGGGUUGUAAACCGCUUUCGCCUGUGACGAAGCGGGAGUGACGGUAAUGGGUAAAGAAGCACCGGCUAACUACGUG
rnacentral:rRNA from 1 species